CCUACGGGUGGCUGCAGUGGGGAAUAUUGGACAAUGGGCGCAAGCCUGAUCCAGCCAUGCCGCGUGUGUGAAGAAGGCCUUCGGGUUGUAAAGCACUUUAAGCGAGGAGGAAAGUUUAUAGGUUAAUACCCUAUAGAAUUGACGUUACUCGCAGAAUAAGCACCGGCUAACUCUGUGCCAGCAGCCGCGGUAAUACAGAGGGUGCAAGCGUUAAUCGGAAUUACUGGGCGUAAAGCGCGCGGUGGCGGUUGAAAUCCCUGGGCUCAACCUAGGCACUGCAUCCGAUACUGGCUAACUAGAGUGUGGGAGAGGAAGGUAGAAUUCCAGGUGUAGCGGUGAAAUGCGUAGAGAUCUGGAGGAAUACCGAUGGCGAAGGCAGCCUUCUGGCCUAACACUGACGCUGAGGUGCGAAAGCAUGGGGAGCAAACAGGAUUAGAUACCCGUGUAGUC
rnacentral:rRNA from 1 species